GGAGGGUUUGCAUUUGUGUAUGAAGCUCAAGAUCUGGGAAGUGGCAGAGAAUAUGCAUUAAAGAGGUUACUGUCCAACGAAGAGGAAAAGAACAGAGCCAUCAUUCAGGAAGUUUGCUUCUUG